rnacentral:rRNA from 1 species
GGGCCGCGGUAAUUUGACCGUGCAAAGGUAGCAUAAUAGUUAGUUUUUUAAUUGGAAUCUUGUAUGAAUGGUUGGACAAAAGAAAUACUGUCUCUAUAAUUUUUAUUGAAUUUAACUUUUAAGUGAAAAGGCUUAAAUUAUUUAAAAAGACGAUAAGACCCUAUAAAGCUUUAUAAGUAAAAUUUAUUUGAUUGAAUUAAUUAAUAAUAUUUUAAUAGAUUAUUAUUAUUUUGUUGGGGAGACAUUAUUAUAAUUUUAAGUAACUGUGAGUAAUUAAUACAGUUUUAAAUGUAUAGUAGUAAUAAAAGAUCCUAUUUAUAGAUUAAAAGUUUAAGUUACUUUAGGGAUAACAGCGUUAUUUUUCUUGAGAGUUCAUAUCGAAAGAAGAGAUUGCGACCUCGAUGUUGAAUUAAAAUUUCUAAAUAAUUGUAGAAGUUAUUUGAGAGGGUCUGUUCGACCUUUAAAUUUUUA